GUGGAUGGGGGAGCGCUUUCCAUCUUUGCGACCCGCCGGCCGCGCCUCCGUCUACCCGCCUGACCCCGCCUCCCUUCUCUCCGCGAAAUCCACCGCCGCUCCCUCUCUCACGCCCAGAUCGCGGGCCCCUCUAUGCCGCCGUCCCCUCCCUCGACCAGAUCCUGGGGUCGCCCGGACCGUCCUCGCCGCCCGGCCGCCACGCCAGCAGCACGCCGACGCCCCCGCCCGCCGCUUGGCCUCCCCCACGACGCCCCCUCCGCGGGAUCCCAAUCAGGAGCGCGGCGCGCGGCCAGCCAAGAAGCGUGUCGUCGCACGUCUGGCUGGCCAGAUCUGGCCGGGCGCCACACCCGCGGCGCGUUUGGGGGAGGAGAAGGGCUCGGCUCUCCAGAUGGAUCGAGGAGGGCGGGUGCGGGUGCCUCGCGUGCCGCGGCUAGGCGCGCCUCCUACGGGACGACGACCCGAUCGCGUACCGCGGCCUCGUCACCCACGUCGGUCACGCCUGCCGGGGCCGCGGUACCGCCGCCGCGUACACGCCGGGCACUCGCAGGCCAAGCUCGUUCGGGAGACAAUCAAGUCCAAAAUGGCGGACCGGGCAUGUACAACGAAGAACGUCCUCUGCACUGGUUGCCGUGAGGGUAUCAAUGGCUUCUAGAUUCUACAGAAUGGUUCUUGUCGAUCAAUUAAUAUUUAUGACUUCCAAACUGAUCGACGAAGUUCAAUUCAAAUAGUCGCACGAAGUAUCGACGCUCUCCUGAUCGACGAAGAGGGUGCUAAGUUGCUUAGUACUUUGUCUGAGGAAGCUCUCAAAGGAACAAUAAGAUUAGUGUCAUUAGCCUAUCAAAGGACAAGAAAUGGGUACUGUGCUAAUGAUAAUGAUGAACAUCCUCUAGGCAGAGAUCAAAUCUGCUCAAGCCUUGUUCUGAUGAUACAGAGGACUACAUUCAACGAUACCAUGAUAGCUCUUCAAUUGAUGCGCACCCAGUUUUCAAAGCUAGAAAAGCUUGUGGUGCAGCCAUUCGUUUUGCAGUCACAAUUGUAUAGCAGUGUGAAGGAUAGAUAGAACACAAGUUGACAGAGACUUGGAGUCAUUCAAGAAAGACAAAGUGUUGCGUAUAUUCAAACUUAGUUCUGGGCAGGAUGAUCAUGCAAUCAUGUUCAUGGACGAUUAUUUGAAACAUAAUUUUAAAAACAAGAAGAAGCACCUAGCUGAGAAUGGAAGAUUGCUUCAAUUACAGAUUGCAGACUUUCAUACGGAUUGCAGGGAGGCGGUUCUUCAAUUGCAACAAGGAGAAGGAGCAUUCUUUUGGGUGGAAGCUGCGGCCUCUUCUCUCUGAAAUUUCAGAUCUCCAAGAUAGCUCUAUUUUCAAGAUGAAUUGUGUUUUUUUUUCUUUCACAACCAUAUACUUCUUAAUGCUAGGUUUCAAUCAGGUUUGGAGAGCAACACUUGAAUGGUGGAGAAGGAAAACAGCAAUGUUAUACAGUCGUCUAGUCGAACCUAGUCGCCAUGGCACCGAUAAGGCGACUAGUCGUGUCUAGUCGUCGAUCAGGUCGAUUAGUCGACCCUAGUCGGUCCUAAUCGUCGCUAUAGUCGUCCUAUAUAUCCCACGACAUAUAUGUACAUGUAUAUGUACUUAUAUACUAUAUAAGUACAGUCAUGUUAUACAGUCAAGGGUUGGGACUCACCACUUCUGUAAUGAAGUCAGGAAAUCGGAUUCAUGAGACUAUCAAUCAAGGAAAGGGACAAUUGAAUCGCUCAAUUGAGUUCUACUUACUUUGCAGGUUAUACAAAGCUGUGACCAGUUGCCAGAAAGAAGUGCAGGAUUUUCUAACUCCAUCUUCAGCAACGGUUCCUGAAGGAACAAAUGCUCAUGAUUCAGACAUCAAAAUUUGGGAUUAUGUUAUUGACUUUUGAAGUCUGGAAAUGCAUCAAGCUGAAAGAACCAAAGUUCAAUCAGAAGAUAAAA